UUUUUCCCCCCCCUCCAUCCCCUCCCGCCCACAGGGUUGGGGUUUCUGGCUGUGAGUGAGGUUUCUGGAAAUCUCUGUGGAAAGUUAAUGGUAUCUCUCCUCUAUAGGGCUAAGAGGAGUCCCAGGCUUGAUAACACGCUGAACAAAGACCUGUCAUGGAACAGACUCUUGCUGAGAUUUAAACUGGAUAGUUUGUGGAUGUGGAGCUGGGCCAGGAUACACAGAGAAAUGUGGGGGAAGAAUCAAGAGAUCUUGGUGCUGCUCUCAUUUGCUGUGUGAUGCUGAUCAAGCAACAUAUUGUCUUUAGAAAUCCUGUUAUAAAAUUUGUCCAACAGAACCUACCUUGCAGAAUUACAGAGAAGAAAAAGAAGAGAGUUCUAUAAACCUGAAGAGCGAUCUUUUCAAAAAAUCAUCAGAAGGAAGGAAUUUGUAGAAAUAAAACUGGAAACAUCCAGAAUCUUGAUGGUGUGCCAAACCAAAUGUCAACUGGAGCUCGACCAAAAACUAAAGUGCUCUCCAACAAACGAAGCAAAGAGAGAGCAGGUAAGUCUCUCUGAUGAAGUCUGUUUUACUGUUUGUUUAUAAAAGUUGUUUGAAGAGCCUUGCCUAGUCACUGUGGGUUUAAGCACAACACAAAUCUUGCUGAAAAAAAUGA